rnacentral:rRNA from 1 species
ACUCCUACGGGAGGCAGCAGUGGGGAAGUAUUGCACAAUGGGCGCAAGCCUGAUGCAGCCAUGCCGCGUGUAUGAAGAAGGCCUUCGGGUUGUAAAGUACUUUCAGCAGUGAGGAAGGCGGGUACGUUAAUAGCGUGCUCGUUUGACGUUAGCUGCAGAAGAAGCACCGGCUAACUCCGUGCCAGCAGCCGCGGUAAUACGGAGGGUGCGAGCGUUAAUCGGAAUUACUGGGCGUAAAGCGCAUGCAGGUGGUUUGUUAAGUCAGAUGUGAAAG